CCUACGGGUGGCAGCAGUAGGGAAUCUUCCACAAUGGGCGAAAGCCUGAUGGAGCAACGCCGCGUGGAUGAAGAAGGUCUUCGGAUCGUAAAACCCUGUUGUUAGAGAAGAAAGUGCGUGAGAGUAACUGUUCACGUUUCGACGGUAUCUAACCAGAAAGCCACGGCUAACUACGUGCCAGCAGCCGCGGUAAUACGUAGGUGGCAAGCGUUAUCCGGAUUUAUUGGGCGUAAAGGGCACGCAGGCGGUCUUUUAAGUCUGAUGUGAAAGCCUUGGGCUUAACCGGAGUAGUGCAUUGGAAACUGGGAGACGUGAGUGCAGAAGAGGAGAGUGGAAUUCCAUGUGUAGCGGUGAAAUGCGUAGAUAUAUGGAAGAACACCAGUGGCGAAAGCGGCUCUCUGGUCUGUAACUGACGCUGAGGUUCGAAAGCGUGGGUAGCAAACAGGAUUAGAUACCCGGGUAGUC
rnacentral:rRNA from 1 species